GUGUCAGCAGCCGCGGUAAUACGUAGGGGGCAAACGUUGCUCGGAAUUACUGGGCGUAAAGGGUGUGUAGGUGGCUGAGCAAGUCAAAGAUGAAAUCCCGAGGCUCAACUUCGGAAUGGUCUUUGAUACUGUUUAGCUUGAGGAUAGUUGAAGAGAAUGGAAUUCCCGGUGGAGCGGUGAAAUGCGUAGAUAUCGGGAGGAACACCUGAGGCGAAGGCGAUUCUCUAAGCUACUCCUGACACUGAAACACGAAAGCUAGGGGAGCAAACGGGAUUAGAUACCCCGGUAGUCCUAGCCGUAAACGAUGGACACUAGAUAUUCCUGCGUUUAUGUGGGAGUGUCGAAGCUAACGCGUUAAGUGUCCCGCCUGGGGAGUACGGUCGCAAGGCUGAAACUCAAAUGAAUUGACGGGG
rnacentral:rRNA from 1 species